GACGAACGCUGGCGGCGCGCUUAACACAUGCAAGUCGGACGGAAAGGCCUGCUUUCCCUUGUGGAUUGCGGGUACUCGAGUGGCGAACGGGUGAGUAACACGUGAGUGAUCUGCCCCCAACUUGGGUAUAAGCCUGGGAAACUGGGUCUAAUUCCCGAUAGGACUGCAGGGUGGUGCCUGUGGUGGAAAACGAUUUUCUAGUGGUUGGGGAUGAGCUCGCGGCCUAUCAGCUUGUUGGUGGGGUAAUGGCCUACCAAGGCGGCGACGGGUAGCCGGCCUGAGAGGGUGGACGGCCACAUUGGGACUGAGAUACGGCCCAGACUCCUACGGGAGGCAGCAGUGGGGAAUAUUGCACAAUGGGCGGAAGCCUGAUGCAGCGACGCCGCGUGGGGGAUGACGGCCUUCGGGUUGUAAACUCCUUUCGACCGCGAGGAAGCCACCUGGUUGGAAGGGUGGUGACGGUAGUGGUAGAAGAAGCACCGGCUAACUACGUG
rnacentral:rRNA from 1 species